GGGUGGCCUCUACUUGUAAGCUAUCGCCUGAAGAGGGGUUUGCGUCUGAUUAGCNGGUUGGUGAGGUAACGGGCCCCACCCAAAGGCGACGAUCAGUAGCCGGCCUGAGAGGGGUGAACGGCCACAUUGGGACUGAGACACGGCCCCAAAACUCCUACGGGAGGCAGCAGUGGGGAAUAUUGGGCAAUGGGCGCAAGCCUGACCCAGCAACGCCGCGUGAAGGAAGAAGGCUUUAGGGUUGUAAACUUCUUUUGUCAGGGACGAGUAGAAGACGGUACCUGACGAAUAAGCCACGGCUAACUACGUG
rnacentral:rRNA from 1 species